AUGGAAGUUUAAAAAAUUAUUAAACAAUAUUUAAAGUCAGUUUAUUGUUAUUUUUUUGUUGUGCUUUUUGAGAAUUGAGUUAAUAAAUGUCUAGAUAAGAAUUGCUAGUAUUUUUGCCAUCAAAAAUAUUCCAACACAAAAUAAAAUCCUGGCGGGAUUUAAGAAGUUCCUGGUCGAAAGAACAAACUUAAAGAACAUGACUAGCCUAUAGCUGAACAGGCAAGCAAAAAAAAAGGUUCAAAUAGGUAAUAGAGAUAGUCUAAAACUUUGAUAUUUAUACUUAUAAUUGAGGUACGCAAGAAAUAAUUAAUUCACCUUAAUCGUUAUUUUUGUUUUAAUUAACUUCUUGAUAGAUGGAAUAGCUGUUAAAAACAUAUCCAACAAAUUUUUAUUUUAUCCACUUCGACUACAACUCUCAAAGCUUACUGAUUACAUUUCAAAAAUUUUCAAUUUUUUACAAAAGCGCCAAUUUGAUAUGCUACUGGAAUAAUUAUACUUCAAAGACUGUAACGCGAUUUAAAUCCAUUUUCUGCUUCGUUUUCCCCCCAGCUAAGCUAUUAUACCUCAGCCUUGUUUUCCAAGCAGAUCGAAUAUGUUAAAAAUUUGUACAACGCCAAGAUCAGUAUCAGUGAUUCUCUGGUACCGCAACCCAGCUAGCACACAUACGUUGAUAAAACGUUAGAACAAUGUUACGCGUUACGUUAGCCCAACAUCGACCUUCAACGUUGUUUUUAUAUAAUUUUGGUUACAAAUGCGCCAACAACCAAAAAACAACGUUGGUCUAACGUUUUAUUAUAAGUUGGCAUUGAGUAAUAUUUAAAGUUGAAUCAACAUUGUAUUUUAGGUUUAUUCAGCGGUAUAUUUUACGUUUGAACAACGUCUAUAUUUUAGUUGUAUAUAGAAACAUUACAUAUUAUAUAUUUGUACGAGUAUUUAACUGCAUAUGCACUUAUAAUUAUAUAUUUCAUCCAUUUUGAUGAAUUUACAUUGAUGAUAA